rnacentral:rRNA from 1 species
GACGAACGCUGGCGGCGUGCCUAACACAUGCAAGUUGAGCGACGAACCAGGGCUUGCCCUGGGGCAAAGUAGCGAACGGGUGAGUAACACGUGGGUAGCUUACCCCGAUAACCGGGACAACCCGCGUAAACUAGGGGGAGUAACGGCUGUGCUCACUGGACUACGGUUCAGUUCGUAAAGGAAGCUUCGGCUUCCUUACCGGUAGGGGCGGGUGCCCCCCUCAUUUGUUUGUUGGUUAGGUAACGGCUUACCAAGACAGCGGUGGGUAGCCGGUCUGAGAGGAUGAUCAGCCACACUGGGACUGAGACACGGCCCAGACUCCUACGGGAGGCAGCAGUGGGGAAUCUUGCGCAAAGCGCGAAAGCGUGACGGAGCAACGCCGCGUGGGGGAAGAAGGUCUUCGGGUUGUAAACCCCUGUCAGUAGGGACGAAGGUACGGGGGUGAAUAGCCGCCCGGACUGACGGUACCUCAACAAGAAGCCCCGGCUAACUGCGUG